UACGUAGGGUGCAAGCGUUGUCCGGAAUUAUUGGGCGUAAAGAGCUCGUAGGCGGUUUGUCGCGUCUGCUGUGAAAACUCGGGGCUUAACUCCGGGCCUGCAGUGGAUACUGCCGGGCUAGAGUCCGGAAGAGGCGAGUGGAACUCCUGGUGUAGCGGUGGAAUGCGCAGAUAUCAGGAAGAACACCAACGGCGAAGGCAGCUCGCUAGGACGGUACUGACGCUGAGACGCGAAAGCGUGGGGAGCGAACAGG
rnacentral:rRNA from 1 species